rnacentral:lncRNA from 1 species
UCUUACUUUUAAAGUCUUCUUCCAUCAAUGUCAUAUCCUUGUCUAAAGCCUGUACCUUUGAGUUGAUAGAACUAGCUUGAUUUUUCAGGAAAUUUUCAAGACUUUUCAAUGCAUUUCUGGCUUUGUUAAAAUCUUGCUUGGAUUUGUUUGUUAAACAUGGUAACGAAAAUACAGUCCCGAACACCACAUAAACCAUAAAGACGGUAAUCGGUAAGACAGGUGUCAUUCUGUAAAAAGUUUUAAAAAUCUGCAUUUUA